rnacentral:sRNA from 1 species
CAGUUUCCUCUUCCCAGACGCCCCCAGCCCCGUUUCCCUGAACGACUGUUGGGUGUCCCGACGGCUCCUGUGGCUGGCAGAAAGAGGAUAACAUUGACCAGGUUUGGGUCUGGUCAGAGCCCCCGCCUCCUCAGGGCAGGUGCUGAGUUGUGGAAAUUUGAGGGGCCCAUUUUCCUGUUGAGUUUUCAAACUAAGUCAGACUGCUGCUUCUGCUUCUCUGACGGGCUUCAGCUGGGAACAGAUUAACUAGGUUGCUAAAGGAACAAAUAUUUCUUCCGUGCACUGAAGACAGGCAGGAAGACAACAGAUAACGUACCUGCAGUGGAGAGGUUAAGCUCCUGUACGGAGGCGUAAUUCAUAAAUAGAUAAAUAUAGGAAAGGACAACAAAGAAAAUAGGGAUAGAAUAACGGGCAGAGAAUUAAGAGAUGAUGUCAGGUGAUUAGUUUUCUCAUCUAAAAGCUUGAAAAUCCUGCAUGUUUGUGGAGUGGUCAAACAGGUGGUGAAGAGGGCAAACUAUUUGAUUCUACAAUAGCUGAUGAGGGAACAUGGACUUUGGAGGACAGAAAAAUGGUUCGUAUUGUUCUUACAAAGACAAAGAGAGAUGCAGCAAAUUGUUGGACUUCUCUACUAGAAUCUGAAUAUGCAGCGG